CAGCUCUUUCAGACCGAUUAUAACGAGAGAAGAGAGGGAGAGGGAGGAAGACAGAUUAAGCAGACUGAACACAACUGUUGUUUUAAUCCCCUGAGCGGAUAGAUUUAGAGGAAAAAAACUACUGGUUUGGAGAAGAGCAGCCAUAUUGCAUGGACCUUUGGUGGAAUAACAAGACUCAGAGGAGCAGGAAUACGCGGAGUUCAGGAGCAAACAUCCCGACUUCACGAUCCGUUCAGCAGCCCGGCUGACGCUACUUUUUCAGCACACUUUUCCGUUUAAUCUGACUUUCUCCUAUUUAUUAUUUAUUUAUUUUAUUUUUAAGAUAGUGUUAACCAAUUGAUUGAAAGAUGAAGGACCGACUGGAGCAACUAAAAGCGACAUGCGAUCAUGAUGAUGAGGAUGUUGAGAUCGCCGUGGACAAUGCUGCCUUUAUGGAUGAGUUCUUCACUCAGAUUGAAGACAUCAGGAACAGCAUUGAUAAGAUCGAUGAGAAUGUGGCCGAAGUGAAGAAACUAUACUCAGUUAUUCUCUCUGCACCAACAUCAGACCAAAAAACGCAGGAUGAUUUGGAGGCGAUUACUAACGAUAUCAAGAAAAUGGCAAACAAUGCUCGUAACAAACUGAAAACCAUUGAAAGGAAUCUCGAAACAGAAGAAGUAGAAAGAGUAUCGGCCGACGUGAGAAUACGCAAAUCACAGCAUGCCGUACUUUCCAGGAAGUUUGUUGAUGUGAUGACCAAAUACAAUGAAGCUCAGGUGGACUUCAGAGAGAAAAGCAAAGGUCGCAUUCAGAGACAAUUAGAGAUCACUGGUAAAGCCACAACUGACGAGGAGCUGGAGGAGAUGCUGGAGGGAGGAAACGCAGCCGUUUUCACAGCGGGGAUUGUGGAUUCGGGGAUCUCCAAACAAGCGCUGAGUGAGAUUGAAGCACGUCACAAAGACAUUGUGCGUCUGGAGAGCAGCAUAAAGGAACUGCACGACAUGUUUGUGGACAUCGCCAUGCUGGUGGAGAGCCAGGGUGGUAUGAUUGACAGGAUUGAAAGCAACAUGGACCAGUCAGUGGGUUUUGUCGAGCGGGCGGUUGCUGACACUAAAAAAGCCGCUAAAUUUCAGCAGGAGGCUCGACGUGUGAGUUCAUGAUCAAUAUCAGGCCCCGCCCUUUCAAUCCCACCCUGCCUCUCCUUACCGUGUCCAAACCUGCUGACGUCAUACAGUCACAUGCACACACACAAACAAACCCAGUGAUUAUUACUAAUCCUGAUACGCCCUGAAACUUCCUAUUAUGGGAUUUCAGUGUAUCUCGGGUAAUGAAAAAACAAUGUUAAGCCACAUGUGUUCACUUUUCAUGACAUAAUAAUAGCAGCAAAAUGUUUGACACAUUACACUCACACAGCUGAGAAAGACACAUUUUAACAGACUUGGUGUUAAAAUGUGAGGAAAAACUACCAUUUUGGUGCAAGUGAGAGCUUACAUUGGUUGAUCUGUCACCACCAUUCAUAAAGCAAGGGGUUUGUAACAAUUUUGGUCUUUUUCCAACUUUUAUUUAUACAGAUAAAAUCAUAGAAACAGUGUAUGUACAUAUGUAUAAACAUAUAAGAACUUGCUUCACCUCUGAAACUACUUCUCUUUAUAGUUAUUGUUCAGGUAUAACAAGAUUUUCAUAUUAAAAUUAAAGGAACACUCCACCCAAAAACGGAAACUGUCAUUAUUUACUCAUCCUGAUGUCAUUACAAACCUGUAUUACUUCUUUUCUUUUAUGGAACACAGUGUAAUAUAUUGUGAAGAAUGUUGGGAAACGAACAGCACUGGAUCUAUUGACUUUCAUUGUAUGGGCAAAAUGACAAAUCUUAAAUUCGCAAAUAUCUUUUUUAAGAAGAAAUAAAGUCAUACAGGAAGUAAAUGAUGACUUUUAUUCUGGGGUGAAUUGUGUACAUUUUUAGAUUUAGAUUUUUAUAUUAAAUUCUUAAAAGUAAUAAAAAUAUUCAAAAGUAACAGAAUUAGUCAAAACUGCAGCAAGUAAUGAUUACAGUGAAGACUUAUUGUACAUGGAAUAAAUUGACUAAGGCAGUGCAAAUUAGUGAGACUGAAUAUGUGUAGUAAACUGUGUAUCAGAGAGACAAAUUCUGAGAUUCCAAAAGGUUCAUCCGGAAAUAUGUUAAGAAAUAAUCUGGGAUGCAAAAGAUGAAAAUGAUAAGCAUGCCAUGGUGAAGAACAAGCUUUCUUUCUCCUUUCUUUCUUUCUUUCUUUUUCUUUCUUUCUUUCUUCCUUUCUUUUUUGUGGCUCUUUUUGACUGUAAAUGUUUACCAUAAAAUAGUUUUUUUUUUAAAUAUUCAACACUCUCAGAAAAAAAAAUGGUAUGAAAACUGUCACUGGGGUGGUACUUUUGUACCUUAUUUACCCCUAAAGAUACUUAACCCUUUAACUGUCACCGUCCGCUCUGUGGGACGCCUAAGUUUACUUCAACAUAUUACGAAUAAAUCCUAAUCUAAUCAUGACAAACAUUGUUGGGAAGGUCUAAGACUCCUAAAUAGAUAUUUUACCACUCUUUUGUGUUACAAAUUAUGUAGGAAAAGUAAUAGAUUAAUUUAUGACAAGAGUGCACCUCAAAAAUCUACAUCAUAAUAGGAGUUCUGAUCUUUGUCACAAAAAGACUUUCUUCGUUGCCUUUUUCCCUUUCACGCAAUAGAAAUCUUAAGAGAACUGAAAAAAUUAACUUAAAAUCUAAAAAUUCAUCCUUUGAAAACCAUUUUAAAAUCAGACAUUGCAUUACCAUGGAAAUUAUCCAUCAAAGUCAUAUCACAAAAUGUUUUCGUUCAUGAAUUAUAAAAAUGUAACUUUGGAUAGUGCAUUUUCAUGUCUAUGUUCAAGAUAGGGAGUGACAGUUAAAGGGUUAAAAGUAGCUUAAUGUACAUAUUAGUAGGGCUGCGCAAUUAAUCUAAUUUCUGGUCAUGAUUAUAAUUACAGAUGCCACAAUUACCUAAUUGUUUAAAGGCGUAAUUACAACAACAACAACAACAAAAAAUUCCACUUACAUUACUGUGCGUGCUUAAGAUGUCUGUUUUUUUUUUUUUUUUUUUUUUUCUACAGGUUAUCGUAAGGAAUUUUUCCAUUGUUUUAAUUUUAGUUUUGUAUAACAUUAUGUCAUGCAUUCUUUUACUUAUUUUAUUUAAAGAAGAAAUCAAAAUCAAUGUAUAGUUUGAGGCUUAAUGAAGAAAAGCAAGAAAAGCAAUACAAGUUUUUCAGAAGGAGUGUUUUCAGCUUAUUUUCAUAUAAAAAUGUGGCAUGCAGUUGCUUCAGACAAUAUUAUAAUGCUGUUCAAAACAUCAUUCAGUGUAUAUUGUGAUAAUCAUAAUAUACACUGAAUGAUGUUUUGAACAGCAUUAUUUGUAGCAAAUAAAUGCAGGCUCAUCAAGCCUGCAUUUAUUUGCUACAAAGUACAGCAAAAAUUUGAAAUAUGUUUACUAAUUAAAAUAACUGUUUUCUAUUUGAAUAUAUUUUAAAAUGUAAUUCAUUCCUAUGAUCAAAGCUAAAUGUGCAGCAUCAUUACUCCAGUCUUCAGUGUCACAUGAUCCUUUAGAAAUCAUUCUAAUAUGCUGAUUUGCUGCUCAAGAAACAUUUUUAUUAUUAUUGUCAAUAUUUAAAACUGUUGAGUACAGGAUUCUUUGAUGAAUAGAAAGAUCCAAAGAUCAGCUUUUGUAACAUUAUACACUAUACCAUACAAAAGCUUAAAUAUAAUUUUUUAUAACUUUAUCAAUACUUUUAUUUAACAAGAAUGCUUUAAAUUGGUGAUAAAGGCAUUUAUAAUGUUACAAAAGAUUUCUAUUUCAGAUAAAUGCUGUUCUUCUGAACUUUCUAUUCAUCAGAGAAACUUGAAAAAAUUCUACUCAGCUGUUUUCAACAUAAUAAUAAAUGUUUUUGAGCAGCAAAUCAGAAUAUUAGAAUGAUUUCUGAAGGAUCAUGUGACUGGAGUAAUGAUGCUAAAAAUUCAGCUUUGAAAUCACAGGAAUAAAUUACAUUUUAAAAUAUAUUCAUAGAAAACAGUUAUUUUAAAUAGUAAAAAUAUUUAAAAAUGUUACUGUUUUUGCUGUACUUUAAAUCAAAUAAACACAGGCCUGGUGAGCAGAAGAGACUUCUUUAAAAAACAUUAAAAAUCGUACUGUUCAAAAACUUUUGACUGGUAGUGUAAGUACCUCAAAUGUACAAAAUUAUAAGUAAACGGUAUAAUUGUAGCUGUAAAAAAAGCCUCAGUGACAGCUUUUGUACCUUUUUUCUAAAAGACAGAUUUUCCAUCAAAGAUCAUGUAUUUGGGCCAUGGAUGUUGUUUAUAUCUGAGUGAGAUAUUUACUUGCUACUCAAAUGUUAAAGCAGAUGCUAACAGUUGUUUUUAUAUGUCUGUUUCUUCACAGAAAACAAUUAUUAUAGUAUCUGUGGUUUUGGUGAUUUUGGCAAUUAUUGCUUUGAUAGUGGGUUUAUCUGUAGGUCUGAAUCGCUGAGAAGUCUAUGAAGAUGAUCAUUCUGGGUGUGAUUGUUGCUGUGGUGCUCGUCAUCAUCCUCAUCGUCAUCCUCACACA